AGUGAACGCUGGCGGUAGGCCUAACACAUGCCAGUCGAACGGCAGCACAGUAAGAGCUUGCUCUUACGGGUGGCGAGUGGCGGACGGGUGAGGAAUACAUCGGAAUCUACUUUUUCGUGGGGGAUAACGUAGGGAAACUUACGCUAAUACCGCAUACGACCUACGGGUGAAAGCAGGGGAUCUUCGGACCUUGCGCGAUUGAAUGAGCCGAUGUCGGAUUAGCUAGUAGGCGGGGUAAAGGCCCACCUAGGCGACGAUCCGUAGCUGGUCUGAGAGGAUGAUCAGCCACACUGGAACUGAGACACGGUCCAGACUCCUACGGGAGGCAGCAGUGGGGAAUAUUGGACAAUGGGCGCAAGCCUGAUCCAGCCAUACCGCGUGGGUGAAGAAGGCCUUCGGGUUGUAAAGCCCUUUUGUUGGGAAAGAAAAGCAGCAGGUUAAUACCCCGCUGUUCUGACGGUACCCAAAGAAUAAGCACCGGCUAACUUCGUG
rnacentral:rRNA from 1 species